CUGAACGCUGGCGGCAUGCCUUACACAUGCAAGUCGAACGGCAGCACGGGGGCAACCCUGGUGGCGAGUGGCGAACGGGUGAGUAAUACAUCGGAACGUGCCCUGAAGUGGGGGAUAACGUAGCGAAAGUUACGCUAAUACCGCAUAUUCUGUGAGCAGGAAAGCAGGGGAUCGCAAGACCUUGCGCUUUAGGAGCGGCCGAUGUCGGAUUAGCUAGUUGGUGAGGUAAAGGCUCACCAAGGCGACGAUCCGUAGCGGGUCUGAGAGGAUGAUCCGCCACACUGGGACUGGGACACGGCCCAGACUCCUACGGGAGGCAGCAGUGGGGAAUUUUGGACAAUGGGCGCAAGCCUGAUCCAGCCAUGCCGCGUGAGUGAAGAAGGCCUUCGGGUUGUAAAGCUCUUUCGGCGGGGAAGAAAUCGCAUUCUCUAAUACAGGAUGUGGAUGACGGUACCCGAAUAAGAAGCACCGGCUAACUACGU
rnacentral:rRNA from 1 species